CAACCUGAGAGUUUGAUCCUGGCUCAGAGCGAACGCUGGCGGCAGGCCUAAUACAUGCAAGUCGAGCGCCCUUUCGGGGGAGCGGCGGACGGGUGAGUAACGCGUGGGAAUAUGCCCUUUGGUACGGAACAACACAGGGAAACUUGUGCUAAUACCGUAUGUGCCCUUCGGGGGAAAGAUUUAUCGCCAUUGGAGUAGCCCGCGUUGGAUUAGCUAGUUGGUGGGGUAAAGGCCUACCAAGGCGACGAUCCUUAGCUGGUCUGAGAGGAUGAUCAGCACACUGGGACUGAGACACGGCCCAGACUCCUACGGGAGGCAGCAGUGGGGAAUAUUGGACAAUGGGCGCAAAGC
rnacentral:ncRNA from 1 species